GAUGAACGCUGGCGCCGCGCCUAAUACAUGCAAGUCGAGUGAACAGACGAGGAGCUUGCUGCUCUGAUGUUAGCGGCGGACGGGUGAUUAAAACGUCGAGAACUUACCCAUCAGACGGGGAUAACUUCGGGAAACCGGAGCUAGUACCGGAUAACAUUCUGAGCCGCAUGGUUCAAUAGCGAAAGACGGUUUUGCUGUCACUUAUAGACGGCACCCCGCCGCAUUAGCCAGCUGGUAAGGUAACGCCUUACCAAGGCAACGAUGCGUAGCCGACCUGCGACGGUGAUCGGCCACACGGCAACUCAGACACGGUCCAGACUCCUACGGGAGACAGGAGUAGUGGAUCGUCCGCAGUGCGCGCAAGCUGGCCGGAGCGCCGCCGCGUGGGUGACGAAGGUCUUCGGAGCGUAGAGCUGCGUUAUUAGGGAAGAACAUGAGUAGAGGUAACUAUCCACGUCCGGACGGUACCUAGUCUGAGAACCGCGGCUAACUACGGG
rnacentral:rRNA from 1 species